GGCUCCUUGGUCUAAAGGUUAGGACAUCAGCCUUUCAAGCUGGUAAUGUUGGGUUCAAGUCCCACAGGAGUCA
rnacentral:tRNA from 1 species